CCCACCACUCCACGCCCCGCGCACAUCCACCCGCUCUCCUCCCAAUCUAGGCUCCACCGCCUUCUUCCGGCCCCGCCCCGGGUCCAGCUCCCAUUUUUCCGGACUCCUUCCGCAUUCCUCCUGCUAGGGCCCGCCUGCAUUCCUUUUCCCUUCUGCCGGUCCAUUCGCCCCACUCCCUGGCCCACCCCUCUCUCCUAGCGUUUACCUCUCACUCCCGGCCCCACCCCCGCCCUGUCGGCCAGCCCUUCGGUUCAAACCGGUCUGGCCCAGCUCCAGCCCCGUUCCUCUCCGCCCCCUCCCCACCCCGCCCCCAUUCACACACUCCUUUUCCCCCCCCCGCCCCCAUCGGAGCCUGCCCGCCCACUCGCUCGUGGGGUCAGAGGUGAACUGGUAGGAAGAGGGCGACCAUCGAGGGCGCGGUGGUGAUGGAGAUGUUGGUGCCUGUUAUUCUUCCAGCCCGAGUGUGACCUACACCCGCUUAUCCGGAGAAGCGUCGGAAGCUCUUCUCCCCUCGUGUUUGUGCAGCGGAGCUCCGGACCCGGGAGUUUCAUUUCGAUCAGAGCUGGGCCAAUUACUGAAGAGGAUCUCUUCUACUGCAUUUAAGCAGCACAAUAAAUUCAAAGAAACUGAAAUUUCCGACAAUUACAGAACAGGUACGUGCUCUUUCUCCCUUCAUUCGUCUAGGCUCAAAUUUAUCCUCCCUGGGUGAUAAGGGAAUGUGUAAAAAUGAUUGGCCUAAGUCUAAAUUAAAGAUGAAGACAUACAAGAAAACAUUCAAACAUUUCUUUUUUUUUUUUUUUUCACGCAUGCAAAAGCACAGUGAUCUCCAACAGAAAUGAAACCCUGCUGCUGCCACCAGCAGGAUUUCUAACAGACAGGGGGACCCAAUCUUUUCCCGUUCUCUGGGGUCCCUGCAAGCGCCGCGAGACUGGAACCCUCUCUCAAACUUUACACAAACGCAAGGAGGAAAAAUUAAGCAUAUGAUGCGUGUUGGGGCUUCAGGACAAUCCAAGGAAUUUGGGUCUUUCCCGAACUCCAGGGGUAAAAGGAGAAAAGAAGAAGAAGAAGAAAAAGGCAGUUCUCCAGCAUGGAUGUGUAUUGUUUGGUGUAGCUCCCCACCAAGAGGGCAGGAAAGAGGAUCAGCAGUGCUUGGACAUAUCUGGAGCACCAGUAAAGCAGCUGGAGGAAGAGAGAAUGGGGAGCUGUCAAAAGCAGAUGGGAGAAGGCUGAGGCAAGAGGAUAAGGCAGGUAAGGACAACAGGAGAAUUUCCUGGGGCUGCCAGCACAAAGGGUGAGGCUCCGCAGACCCCAAACCACGAUAGUCUUCUGCUUCAGCUGUUAUGGAGGAGCAUUUCUGAGUGCCAGACACUGCAUUCAGUCCACGAUCUCAUUUAAUCCUCACAUCACAGGAAACUGGCUGACACUCAGAGGGGUUAAGUCUAUGCCUUACUUACAUAGCCAGUUCGUGGCAGAGCCUCAAGUCUGCCCAAGGCAUGCUGACCCUGGUCCCUUGCUCUUUCUACCUGACCCGCCACAGCUCACAGAUACUCAGGGAUGCCAUGGAGCCUCGCAAGCAUCCAGACACCUCACUCAUUCUAAUCCAGGCAAAGAAUAGGGAAUGAUUUCUCUUAAAUAUCGCCCCUUUUGAAGCUUUUUCAUGCUUGCCAACACAAAGUUGCCACCACAAACAUACAUCCCUUGAGGAUAAGGGGGUUCCCAAUGGCUAGUCCCAUGAGUCUGUGUUCAGGGAAAUGUUGAAGGGAUGGUAAAAACAAAGGAAACCCCCAUACAAGGCAAUGCUUUUGUUAAGUAACUUUGGGAAACACCAUCUACCUCCCACAAACUCCUGGAGAGUCACUCCACAUGUUAGAAUAUUAAAGAGUAUUAUGACAAAUCCUGCAGAAAAGAGGUCUGUCUAAAGCAUUUCCCCUACUUAUCUGAACACAAAAAAUUUUUUUUUCUCCUAUUGGACAUAAGAUCACAUCAGCUUAUCUUCCAAUGAGCCCAUCUCAGGAAAC
rnacentral:lncRNA from 1 species